AUUGAACGCUGGCGGCAGGCCUAACACAUGCAAGUCGAGCGGAAACGAUGGAAGCUUGCUUCCAGGCGUCGAGCGGCGGACGGGUGAGUAAUGCAUAGGAAUCUGCCCGGUAGUGGGGGAUAACCUGGGGAAACCCAGGCUAAUACCGCAUACGUCCUACGGGAGAAAGCAGGGGAUCUUCGGACCUUGCGCUAUCGGAUGAGCCUAUGUCGGAUUAGCUAGUUGGUGAGGUAAUGGCUCACCAAGGCCGCGAUCCGUAGCUGGUCUGAGAGGAUGAUCAGCCACAUCGGGACUGAGACACGGCCCGAACUCCUACGGGAGGCAGCAGUGGGG
rnacentral:rRNA from 1 species